CAGCCGCCGCGGUAAUACGAAGGGUGCAAGCGUUAAUCGGAAUUACUGGGCGUAAAGCGUGCGUAGGCGGUGAGUUAAGUCUGCUGUGAAAUCCCCGGGCUCAACCUGGGAAUGGCAGUGGAUACUGGCUCGCUAGAGUGUGUCAGAGGAUGGUGGAAUUCCCGGUGUAGCGGUGAAAUGCGUAGAGAUCGGGAGGAACAUCAGUGGCGAAGGCGGCCAUCUGGGACAACACUGACGCUGAGGCACGAAAGCGUGGGGAGCAAACAGGAUUAGAUACCCGCGUAGUCCCUGUCUCUUAUAA
rnacentral:rRNA from 1 species